AUGACCGUCGGCCUCCCCGACUCCUUCUCCGCCCGCUUCCACCCCUUCUCCGCCCUCGAGGUCAUCCACCUCCACUGCGUCCGCAUCUCCGACGGCACACUCCGUAGCCUGGUCGCCGCGUGCCCCCUCCUCCACACCCUCGAUUUGCGCUACUGCGAAGGCCUCUACUUCAUCAGCGUCGCCGCGGCCGGGGCACGCCCGAGGAGCCUCACCGUUGCACAGUGCGGUUCGGACACCGAAGUUUUUCUUGCCGACGAUGCGUCCGGCCUGCGCUCAUUCCACUACAGCGGCGCCUACAUGCCUGCCUACCGCAUACCGGCCACCACCGCUCUUGCUGACCUUUACAUCUGCUUCGGAGGACCUGAACGCCGGGGGCGGCGCAGAAACUGGCUUCAACUACUAACCAAUCUGUCCAACCUCACUGUGCUUACCCUCUGCAGCAGAGUCCUACGGGUUCGUCGCUCUCUGCAUUUCAUGCCAUCCGGGUUGAUCUCAAUACUCAGUUACUGUCUUAUUGAUAACUUUCUUCGUUGCUAUGCUUUGCAGAGACUGUCUGCCGAAGCUCGUGCCAGGUUAGUUGCCACAAGUGCUGCACCAUGCAAAUUGCUGAAUUUGAGAGAGCUUCAGCUACUGAUGUUCGCAUUGGAGAUCGACAACAUGAACGACAUUUACUGUUUCCUCGUGACCUGCUGUGGCCCUCGAUUGGAGAGGUUAUUUGUGCAGCUUCCUACAAGUAGUUAUCAAGAUAAGCCAGAGGAUGAACCAUCAGGAUCAGAAUCAGAGGAAGAUGGGUCAGUGGAAGAGCUAUCAGAGCAAGAGGCAUCAGAUGAAGAUGAGCUAGAUGAACACUUUUCAGAAGGAGAAACACUGGAGAAAGAUGGGCUAGAGGAAGAGCUGUCUGAGGGAGAUGCCCUGGAGGAAGAGCUGUCAGAGGGAGAUGAGCUAGAGGAAGAGCUGUUAGAGGGAGAUGACCUAGAGGAAGAGCUGUUGGAGGGAAUUGAACUCGAGGAAGAGUUGUCAGAGGGAGAGCCACCUGAAGAAAAUCAAUCACAGAAACAUGGAUCGAUGGAAGAGAUAUCUGAUGGAGAUGGCUUUGAAAACCUUCUGUUGGUCAACAUGAUGAAUAUCAAGGGGCGCCACAAUGAGAUGCAGCUAGUAAGCCUUUUCUUGAAGAAGUCUACAAGUCUCAACCAACUGAUACUGUUUACUCCCAAGAUUGAUCACCCAGAAUGGCUUCAGAAAGAUCAUAUGAAUACUUCACAUAUUCUUGACAGAAAACUAUCGCCUCUCAGAAAGGCCUCACCGAAUGUUCAGAUAGUUCUCAGUGAGCCUGAUGAUAGUGCAAUCCAGCCGUUGCACGAGGCUUUUGUCAAGGUUUAA
rnacentral:rRNA from 1 species